rnacentral:rRNA from 1 species
AUCCUAGGAACUUCCUUUCAGUUAAGAGUUAGUGGCGGACGGGUGAGUAACACGUUAGUACCUGCCCUCUAGUGGGGAAUAACUGCCCGAAAGGGUAGCUAAUACCGCAUGUGGUCCUUCGGGAUUAAAGCAGUAAUGCGCUAGAGGAGGGGCUUGCGUCUGAUUAGCUUGUUGGUAGGGUAAUGGCCUACCAAGGCGACGAUCAGUAGCUGGUUCGAGAGGAUGACCAGCCACACUGGGACUGAGAUACGGCCCAGACUCCUACGGGAGGCAGCAGUAAGGAAUCUUCCACAAUGGACGAAAGUCUGAUGGAGCAACGCCGCGUGCAGGAUGACGGCCUUCGGGUUGUAAACUGCUUUUAUAUGGGAAGAUUAUGACGGUACCAUAUGAAUAAGGACCGGCUAACUACGUGCCAGCAGCCGCGGUAAUACGUAGGGUCCAAGCGUUAUCCGGAAUCACUGGGCGUAAAGCGUACGUAGGCGGGUACUUAAGUGAGAUGCGAAAUCUUGUGGCUCAACCAUAUAGACUGUAUCUCAUACUGGGUGCCUUGAGGAUGGCAGAGGCUAGUGGAAUUACCGGUGUAGCAGUGAAAUGCGUAGAGAUCGGUAGGAACACCAAUGGCGAAGGCAGCUAGCUGGGCCAUUUCUGACGCUAAGGUACGAAAGCGUGGGGAGCGAACAGGAUUAGAUACCCUGGUAGUCCACGCCGUAAACGAUGCAUAUUAUUAGUAUGGAGUAUCGACCCUCUGUGCUGAGAAGCUAACGCGUUAAAUAUGCCGCCUGGGGAGUACGAUCGCAAGAUUAAAACUCAAAGGAAUUGACGGGGACCCGCACAAGCAGUGGAUCAUGUGGUUUAAUUCGAUGCUACGCGAAGAACCUUACCGAGGCUUGACAUCCUGAGAAGUCUCCAGAACGGAGAUGUGCUUCGGGAACUCAGUGACAGGUGCUGCAUGGCGUCGUCAGCUCGUGUCGUGAGAUGUUGGGUUAAGUCCGGCAACGAG